GACUGACACCAUAAAAGUCCAAUCAAGACUGCUCUUGCUUCUGCCAUGUUGCUAGUGCCAUUGCUCAAAAGGCCAUAAGCAUUUCCCCUCUGUGGUUUCUCAACCCCACCAGUACCAAUUAAACCAUCCCUCAGCUUACUACUGUUAGUAUUGAGUUUUAACCACCCAAAGAUAGGUCUCUCCCAUAUAAUAGGGAAAUAAUGAAAUUUAAGAGACAGAUUCAAAAGAGUUUCACACAACCCAGA
rnacentral:lncRNA from 1 species